CCAGACGCUUGCUCUCGGGUGACGAGCGGCGGACGGGUGAGUAAUGUCUGGGAAACUGCCUGAUGGAGGGGGAUAACUACUGGAAACGGUAGCUAAUACCGCAUAAUGUCGCAAGACCAAAGUGGGGGACCUUCGGGCCUCAUGCCAUCAGAUGUGCCCAGAUGGGAUUAGCUAGUAGGUGGGGUAACGGCUCACCUAGGCGACGAUCCCUAGCUGGUCUGAGAGGAUGACCAGCCACACUGGAACUGAGACACGGUCCAGACUCCUACGGGAGGCAGCAGUGGGGAAUAUUGCACAAUGGGCGCAAGCCUGAUGCAGCCAUGCCGCGUGUGUGAAGAAGGCCUUCGGGUUGUAAAGCACUUUCAGCGGGGAGGAAGGCGGUGAGGUUAAUAACCUUGUCGAUUGACGUUACCCGCAGAAGAAGCACCGGCUAACUCCGUGCCAGCAGCCGCGGUAAUACGGAGGGUGCAAGCGUUAAUCGGAAUUACUGGGCGUAAAGCGCACGCAGGCGGUCUGUCAAGUCGGAUGUGAAAUCCCCGGGCUCAACCUGGGAACUGCAUUCGAAACUGGCAGGCUAGAGUCUUGUAGAGGGGGGUAGAAUUCCAGGUGUAGCGGUGAAAUGCGUAGAGAUCUGGAGG
rnacentral:rRNA from 1 species